AGGCCCUUGCUUAAAUCACAUCCUAACACCUGUGAACUGUAAGGCGUAUGAUGCGGUCUUUGGCCAAGUCAUCGUCUGCCCAUUUUUAACAAACAAUUAAUGUAACAAACGUAGUCUUAUUAUAACCUAAUAAAACUUUCAACAACGGAUCUCUUGGCUCUCGCAUCGAUGAAGAACGCAGCGAAAUGCGAUAAGUAAUGUGAAUUGCAGAAUUCAGUGAAUCAUCGAAUCUUUGAACGCACCUUGCGCUCUUUGGUAUUCCGAAGAGCAUGCCUGUUUGAGUGUCAUGAAAAUAUCAACCUUGACUUGGGUUUUGUGCUCUAGUCUUGGCUUGGAAUUGGGUGCUUGCCGCUUUUACGAGCGGCUCACCUUAAAUGUAUUAGCUGGAUCUGUCUUUGAGACUUGGUUUGACUUGGCGUAAUAAGUAUUUCGCUAAGGACAUUCUUCGGAGUGGCCUCGUUUCUAGGACGCUUGUCCGCUUCCCAAUACAAGUUCCACCUCGUGGACAUGACUUUUUAUUAUCUGGCCUCAAAUCAGGUAGGACUACCCGCUGAACUUAAGCAUAUCAAUAAGCGGAGGAAAAGAAACUAACAAGGAUUCCCCUAGUAACGGCGAGUGAAGCGGGAAAAGCUCAAAUUUGAAAUCUGGCAGCCUCAGGUUGUCCGAGUUGUAAUCUAUAGAAACGUUUUCCGCGCUGGCCCAUGUACAAGUCCCCUGGAACGGGGCGUCAUAGAGG
rnacentral:rRNA from 1 species